GAUGAACGCUGGCGGCGUGCUUAACACAUGCAAGUCGAACGAAGCACUUUAACCUGAUUCUUCGGAUGAAGGUUUUUGUGACUGAGUGGCGGACGGGUGAGUAACGCGUGGGUAACCUGCCUCAUACAGGGGGAUAACAGUUAGAAAUGACUGCUAAUACCGCAUAAGACCACAGAGCCGCAUGGCUCGGUGGGAAAAACUCCGGUGGUAUGAGAUGGACCCGCGUCUGAUUAGGUAGUUGGUGGGGUAACGGCCUACCAAGCCAACGAUCAGUAGCCGACCUGAGAGGGUGACCGGCCACAUUGGGACUGAGACACGGCCCAAACUCCUACGGGAGGCAGCAGUGGGGAAUAUUGCACAAUGGGGGAAACCCUGAUGCAGCGACGCCGCGUGAGCGAAGAAGUAUUUCGGUAUGUAAAGCUCUAUCAGCAGGGAAGAAAAUGACGUUACCUGACUAAGAAGCACCGGCUAAAUACGUG
rnacentral:rRNA from 1 species